AUUGAACGCUGGCGGCAGGCUUAACACAUGCAAGUCGAGCGGGGGAAGGUAGCUUGCUACCGGACCUAGCGGCGGACGGGUGAGUAAUGCUUAGGAAUCUGCCUAUUAGUGGGGGACAACAUCUCGAAAGGGAUGCUAAUACCGCAUACGUCCUAUGGGAGAAAGCAGGGGAUCUUCGGACCUUGCGCUAAUAGAUGAGCCUAAGUCGGAUUAGCUAGUUGGUGGGGUAAAGGCCUACCAAGGCGACGAUGUGUAGCGGGUCUGAGAGGAUGAGCCGCCACACUGGGACUGAGACACGGCCCAGACGCCUACGGGAGGCAGCAGUGGGGAAUAUUGGACAAUGGGGGGAACCCUGAUCCAGCCAUGCCGCGUGUGUGAAGAAGGCCUUAUGGUUGUAAAGCACUUUAAGCGAGGAGGAGGCUACUUUAGUUAAUACCUAGAGAUAGUGGACGUUACUCGCAGAAUAAGCACCGGCUAACUCUGUGCCAGCAGCCGCGGUAAUAC
rnacentral:rRNA from 1 species